rnacentral:rRNA from 1 species
GAUGAACGCUGGCAGAAUGCUUAACACAUGCAAGUCGAAGGGGAAGGGGUGCUUGCACCAUGGUAACCAUGGCGGACGGGUGAGUAACGCGUAAGGAACUUGCCUGCUGGACUGGGAUAACAGCAGGAAACUGCUGAUAAUACCGGAUAAGGUCAUUAAGCUGCCUUGCUUAGUGAUGAAAGGAGACGCCUGCGGAGAGCCUUGCGUCCUAUUAGCUAGUUGGAGGGGUAACGGCCCACCAAGGCGAAGAUAGGGAGGCGGCCUGAGAGGGUGGACGGCCACAAGGGGACUGAGAUACGGACCUUACUCCUACGGGAGGCAGUAGUGGGGAAUAUUGGACAAUGGGGCAACCGUGAUAGAGCAAUUCUGUGUGGAAGAAGAGGGUUUUCGGAUUGUAAAGUGCUUUCAGGAGGGAAGAAGGAAGUGACGGUACCUGCAGAAGAAGCGACGGCUAAAUACGUG